rnacentral:tRNA from 1 species
GUCCCCUUCGUCUAGUGGCCUAGGACACCGCCCUUUCACGGCGGUAACAGGGGUUCGAGUCCCCUAGUGGCCGCCC